GUGCCUAAUACAUGCAAGUCGAGCGAACAGACAAGGAGCUUGCUCCUUUGACGUUAGCGGCGGACGGGUGAGUAACACGUGGGUAACCUACCUAUAAGACUGGGAUAACUUCGGGAAACCGGAGCUAAUACCGGAUAAUAUUUCGAACCGCAUGGUUCGAUAGUGAAAGAUGGUUUUGCUAUCACUUAUAGAUGGACCCGCGCCGUAUUAGCUAGUUGGUAAGGUAACGGCUUACCAAGGCGACGAUACGUAGCCGACCUGAGAGGGUGAUCGGCCACACUGGAACUGAGACACGGUCCAGACUCCUACGGGAGGCAGCAGUAGGGAAUCUUCCGCAAUGGGCGAAAGCCUGACGGAGCAACGCCGCGUGAGUGAUGAAGGUCUUCGGAUCGUAAAACUCUGUUAUUAGGGAAGAACAUACGUGUAAGUAACUAUGCACGUCUUGACGGUACCUAAUCAGAAAGCCACGGCUAACUACGUGCCAGCAGCCGCGGUAAUACGUAGGUGGCAAGCGUUAUCCGGAAUUAUUGGGCGUAAAGCGCGCGUAGGCGGUUUUUUAAGUCUGAUGUGAAAGCCCACGGCUCAACCGUGGAGGGUCAUUGGAAACUGGAAAACUUGAGUGCAGAAGAGGAAAGUGGAAUUCCAUGUGUAGCGGUGAAAUGCGCAGAGAUAUGGAGGAACACCAGUGGCGAAGGCGACUUUCUGGUCUGUAACUGACGCUGAUGUGCGAAAGCGUGGGGAUCAAACAGGAUUAGAUACCCUGGUAG
rnacentral:rRNA from 1 species